rnacentral:rRNA from 1 species
CGGCGUGCUUAACACAUGCAAGUCGAACGGAGUACCCUCGAAAGAGAUUUCGGUCAAUGGAGAGGACUACUUAGUGGCGGACGGGUGAGUAACGCGUGAGGAACCUGCCUUUCAGUGGGGGACAACAGUUGGAAACGACUGCUAAUACCGCAUAACGUACUGGUAUCGCAUGGUACUGGUACCAAAGAUUUAUCGCUGAGAGAUGGCCUCGCGUCUGAUUAGCUAGUUGGUAGGGUAACGGCCUACCAAGGCGACGAUCAGUAGCCGGACUGAGAGGUUGGCCGGCCACAUUGGGACUGAGAUACGGCCCAGACUCCUACGGGAGGCAGCAGUGGGGAAUAUUGGGCAAUGGGCGCAAGCCUGACCCAGCAACGCCGCGUGAAGGAAGAAGGCUUUCGGGUUGUAAACUUCUUUUGACAGGGAAGAGCAGAAGACGGUACCUGUCGAAUAAGCCACGGCUAACUACGUGCCAGCAGCCGCGGUAAUACGUAGGUGGCAAGCGUUGUCCGGAUUUACUGGGUGUAAAGGGCGUGUAGCCGGGCUGACAAGUCAGAUGUGAAAUCCGGGGGCUCAACCCCCGAACUGCAUUUGAAACUGUUGGUCUUGAGCAUCGGAGAGGCAGGCGGAAUUCCUAGUGUAGCGGUGAAAUGCGUAGAUAUUAGGAGGAACACCAGUGGCGAAGGCGGCCUGCUGGACGACAACUGACGGUGAGGCGCGAAAGCGUGGGGAGCAAACAGGAUUAGAUACCCUGGUAGUCCACGCUGUAAACGAUGGAUACUAGGUGUGCGGGGACUGACCCCCUGCGUGCCGCAGCUAACGCAAUAAGUAUCCCACCUGGGGAGUACGAUCGCAAGGUUGAAACUCAAAGGAAUUGACGGGGGCCCGCACAAGCGGUGGAUUAUGUGGUUUAAUUCGAUGCAACGCGAAGAACCUUACCAGGGCUUGACAUCCUACUAACGAAGUAGAGAUACAUUAGGUACCCUUCGGGGGAAGUAGAGACAGGUGGUGCAUGGUUGUCGUCAGCUCGUGUCGUGAGAUGUUGGGUUAAGUCCCGCAACGAGCGCAACCCUUAUUGUUAGUUGCUACGCAAGAGCACUCUAGCGAGACUGCCGUUGACAAAACGGAGGAAGGUGGGGACGACGUCAAAUCAUCAUGCCCCUUAUGUCCUGGGCUACACACGUAAUACAAUGGCGGUCAACAGAGGGAUGCAAAACCGUGAGGUGGAGCGAACCCCUAAAAGCCGUCCCAGUUCAGAUCGCAGUCUGCAACCCGACUGCGUGAAGUCGGAAUCGCUAGUAAUCGCGGAUCAGCAUGCCGCGGUGAAUAUGUUCCCGGGCCUUGU